CACAUCGUCGCGUUGGAACAGCGUGUGAGCAGAGUCUCUCUGUGAAAGUGCACUGUUGGCCCGCACUCGCAUUGGAAAUGGUGAAAGCGAAUGUAGACUGGGGUUGCCUUAUGCCUGAGAUCUGCUUUUGGGUUCCACAGACAAAGUCAAACAGGGAUCUCGGUAAGCUGAAAUACAAGUUUGAACAAGAAUAAAAAUCCUCCUGUAGACCUGAAAAUCAUUGAAGUGCGUGGACCAUCCACCAGAAAACAGGGACAGAAAACGGAAAACGAAGCUGCUGUAUCUUUUCACUUUUCUAACUCG